rnacentral:miRNA from 1 species
AUCAGCGGUCUUUGAGGGGACCU